rnacentral:rRNA from 1 species
GGUUUUGCAAAGAGAUGAUUCUAAACCGCCCUCCCCAUUCCGAACAGGGAAGUUAAGCCCUUUAGCGCCGAUGGUACUGCUACACCAAGUGGGAGAGUAGGUCGCCGCCUUC